rnacentral:rRNA from 1 species
UCGCGAAUUUUUCACAAUGGGCGCAAGCCUGAUGGAGCCACGCCGUGUGCAGGAUGAAGGCCCUCUGGGUUGUAAACUGCUGUCAGGGAAGGGGAAACGCUUGGUGUUAACAGCGCCAGGUUUGACUGCUUUCCAAAGGAAGCCCCGGCAAAACAUGUG